CAGCAGCCGCGGGAAUACAGAGGGUGCAAGCGUUAAUCGGAAUUACUGGGCGUAAAGCGCGCGUAGGUGGUUUGUUAAGUUGGAUGUGAAAUCCCCGGGCUCAACCUGGGAACUGCAUCCAAAACUGGCAAGCUAGAGUAUGGUAGAGGGUGGUGGAAUUUCCUGUGUAGCGGUGAAAUGCGUAGAUAUAGGAAGGAACACCAGUGGCGAAGGCGACCACCUGGACUGAUACUGACACUGAGGUGCGAAAGCGUGGGGAGCAAACAGGAUUAGAUACCCCAGUAGUCCCUGUCUCUUAUAU
rnacentral:rRNA from 1 species